AUUGAACGCUGGCGGCAGGCCUAACACAUGCAAGUCGAGCGAGCGGCGGACGGGUGAGUAAUGUCUGGGGAACUGCCCGAUGGAGGGGGAUAACUACUGGAAACGGUAGCUAAUACCGCAUACCAUCAGAUGUGCCCAGAUGGGAUUAGCUAGUAGGUGGGGGAACGGCUCACCUAGGCGACGAUCCCUAGCUGGUCUGAGAGGAUGAGCAGCCACACUGGAACUGAGACACGGUCCAGACUCCUACGGGAGGCAGCAGUGGGGAAUAUUGCACAAUGGGCGCAAGCCUGAUGCAGCCAUGCCGCGUGUAUGAAGAAGGCCUUAGGGUUGUAAAGCACUUUCAGCCGGGAGGCGUUACCGGCAGAAGAAGCACCGGCUAACUCCGUGCCAGCAGCCGCGGUAAUUC
rnacentral:rRNA from 1 species